UCACGGAAUUUGAGAAAAACUGGAAAGUAAUCUGUUCGUCGCGCCCUUGCCCCGGCGCACUCAAGACGCAAUCCUCAUUUUCCAUUAACGCUGACCUAAAAUAUCUGGAAACAAUCCCUCUCUCCCUCACCCCGCCUCCCUCUCGGCAUCAUCGCCGCCGCCGUCCAACUAAUGGCCGCCUUCCGCCACAGCUCUCCUUCCCUCCCAGAGGCCUGCCCAAUCUCGAUCUCGUCGAGGUUGGAAUGCUCGGGUCGCUGGCCAUCCAGCGGUAGGCGCCGACGAAAGCGGAGGAACGGGUGCGGGCCUCAAGUCUCCACUGGAUCCGUGGGAGUCGCGGCUUCCUCCCGCGGUACAUGCUGAUGAGGAUCAAGCCCUCUCCUCCAAGCGCUCACCACUGAAUCGAGCCCCCAGAAUGGCCACGCCCCAAGCACUCACGACCGCGGUUCCAGAGCUCUCCAUCUGCGAUUCAGUCCUACCGCCGUGCUACCGCCUUAUCUGUCCGAUAGUGUGGAGGAAGCUUCCCGUGUUCCCCUUACUAGCCGCGUCUCUCCACCAAAAAUGAGCACAUGGAGUAGCAUGAUGACGACCAGCACCAGCCAGUGCUCCAAGGCUGCUUUACCCUACAAGGCACCCGCUGGCUGAGAGGCCAACAAUUUGUCAUGCACCACCACCGCGAGCAGCUCGUCUCCCAGGUCCAUCAAGAAAGUAGACUAAAUAAAAUCCCCAAAGAGAAAGGAAAGGCACAAUACGUCAUUCUGCUCUACAUUAUCCUCUUCUUCAUACAAUGGUGAAAGAACUGUAUAUGGAUUGCGAGGAUGUGAUGGAAAGGUGAUGGGAAGGAGACGGUUGUGAAUGUGGUUUCUGUCAGUUCACUUGCAUCCUAUGUAGAAAUGCAUUGUCUGGGUUAAAGUUGCUCGAGAUGUUUGAGAUCUCCUUGAUCGCUGUAAAAGAGACUAUGAAAUUGCAUGCUUUGGUACAUUACCCUAAUGAGAUGCUCCUUGUGACACAGUUGAGUGUCAUGAUUAUUUGUUCACACAGUGCCGACAACUGCUCAACUAGGGCUUCAUAUUGUGAGAAAAGGCCCUUUUGGAUAAUGGUCAAGCUCCUAGAGAGAGGCAACCGGGGAUUCUCUCCUUGAAGCUGUAGUACGUGAAAUGUGCAAGGCCUUUUUUAGUCAUUAGUUUUCAGAGGGGGUAAGAAAUUCUGCAUCAACAAAUGCAAAGCGCCGAGUUCAUCCAGCAAAGAAUGUGGCAAAAAUUUCAGAUGUGGUAUUACGGUCAAAUAAAGAACAGGUUUGUCCGUUUGAGUUUUGUGAUCAUGUGCUCGCCAAGGCCACCACCACCGGCAACCACGUCACAGUGCUCAACGUCACCACCAUCGAUGGGCUGGGGGCAAAACGACCGGAGCAGAGCUGCUGCCCUAUUCACCGCCCAUUCUUUCAUGCUCAUGAUCGACAACCAGGGGAUGUGCAUCCUCGUCGUCUCUAAGAAAGACGAGGCCAAGCCCUCCAACGAGGUCAGUGCUCUCUUUCUCAUCAGGCCCUACGUUUAAUUGCUAUUCAUACCUUACCCGCUUGCAAUUAUUUGGAAAAUUGAUUCAUGAUGAUAUAAAAGUAUAAUGAUAGAUCUUAUGAAAUUCAUGUGUUUUUUUGGUGGAAAGAAAACCUGCAUUUUGAAGGAAUUGUUUGGUAUCUACUAAUCUGGAAUUCAUUUGUAGGAUUGUGUCUAAUCUAUAAGAUAUAUAUGGAGAAUUUGUCGGGGUUAGAGUACACUAGAGUAUGUUUCUUGUUUGAUCUGUCAAACGUUUAUGUAUACCAAAUUCAGUUAUGUGCUCCAUCCAUUGUUUAAUUUAGUGUAUCACUAGCUAUUAUUUUUGUAGGAUGCUGAAUCACAAAAUGCAACCAAAUUCUCGUGACCGAGGAAACACGAAUUAUAGAUGAGUUGGUCUCAGUAAUAGAGAAUUAAGAUUCAUUUCAUACCUUGUUCACUUACAGUGAUCUUGCAAGAAUCACCCAGACUUCUCUUGGUACAUAUACAAUUCAUUUCAUUAUUAGUUCUGAAUGUUACUCACAAUCACUCUUAUCUUCAAUGAAGUGUGUUGAAUGCUUCUGGUGAUGAUCAAUUGAAUCCACUAUGUUGAGCAGAACAGGUAGUUGAGAUAUCUGCGGUAUGUUAUUCUUACGGUGAAGCAGACCUAUAAAUUUGCCAAAGAACAUUUUUUUGAAAAUGGACCAAUUGUAGGUAUUCAGGAAUCUUGGACAAUUUCUAUGAUGUAGAUUCUGUGCAUGUAUGUCCUUUUGGGAUCUGGUCAUGGAUGGGUGGAUGGGUUGGGUCAUAAACUCAUAAUACUCUGCUGGUUGUUUUAUUAUUCCUGAUUCCUCUCUUGGAUGGAUUUGGAUCAAGACUGGUUGUUGCUCUGUUCUAAUAAAGCUAUCUUCCUAGAUAAGCUUGUAAGGUUCAAUUUUGAAGGCUUGCUUACACAUGAAGAGAAGCAUGCCAUUUAAAAUUGUUUGCACUAUAUUGUUGUUUAGUUCAUUUCACGGGGAUUACCUUGAUUUAACAGUUGUUAAUAACAUUUUUUUCUGGUUUGAACAACUGAAUCACUUCUCUCUUUGCAUGGUUUUAACAGUUGUUAAUAACAUCUAAUCACUUCUCCCUUGAUUUAAAUGUUUUUAACCACAUUUGUAAGUCUCAAGUUUCUCAGCUAGCAUUGCACAAAGCAUACAAUAGAUAUACAUCUCAAACGUUCAUUCUGGUUACAAAUGUUAUGUCACAGGCCGUACUAACAUCUUCCAUUAUAUUUUUAAUAUAGCUUCUGGUUAAUAUGUUCUUAUGUUUUAGAUUCUCCACAUGCACACAUGCAUAUACCAUGGCCAUUCUAUGUCGAAUCCAGACAGUACUUACCGCAGUAGAGAGGAGGUUGUAGGAAUGAGACAGGUCAUACAAAAUAUUGACCUUGUGAACUAAGCUUUUGCCAUGACCUAACAGGAGGGUGAUCCGAUUGAUUGGGUCAGAAAGCUGAUAUUGGCCCGACUUGGCAACAUCAUAGGAGCUCAAGGUAUGCAUUGUAUAUAAAAAACUGUAAUCGGAAAACAUAAGACCUAGAAUUAUACCAUUUGCUUGGAUGGCGCAAACAGAGAACAUCUGAAAUUUUUGUAUAUUCUUUUUAAUUUACUAUGACCAUCUAUCCGUUCUUUAAGGACAUGGAGAAGGAAAUUAGAUGGAGGUUGACAUUCCGAUUGCCAAAGCAAAGGUCUGCAAUGCAUCUAGAUCUCUUAAAAAAUCCAUUUAUUCGGAAUAAUUGUGCUCAUAAGUACCUUGCACAAUCCAACACAUUCAGAAAGUCCAUUGCCUGAUGCAUUCGAAUGUUCAAAAAUUUGUAUGGGAACAACUGCAGUGUGGAGGUAAGCAGACAUUAAAAAUGAUAUGAUUACUUUCCCUCCCUCUUCUCCGCCGGAUUAGCCGGCUGGAGUGGGUUCAGGAGAGGCGCCGGUGUAGUUAGGUCUAGGUUCUGUAGUUGUAGGUUUUGUGGUUUCAGUUUGGGCUCUUUGCCCGUAGUUUCAAGCGGAUCUCUAGAGCCUGAUCAGAUCUGGAGGUUAGGGUUCCUUGUCUGCAUCUUCUUGCUCCACUGGUCGAAGUGGAAGACGGAGGAGAGCAACACCGCUCCCCCAAAUAAGGUCGUGUUCUUCCGGCUUGUCCUGUGGCGGAAUAGCGGUGGUGAUGGGCAUCCUCUGGCCUGCCGUGGUGGCGAGGAGAGGAGGCAGGCUGUCUCACCGUGUUCGGAUCCAGGAGCUCGGCGGAGAGACCGUCUGAUGUUGCAGAGGUUUGCUAUGAUUCUUCCUCUGGCCGGCCGUGGAGGCGAGGAGAGGAAGAAAAGGAGCUUAUCUCUCUGCAUAUCGAGAGGUUGGAGCUGUGGAGGCGCGGGUGCUGCUUCCUACAGGGGUAAAAUCUCGACGGCUGGUUCGCCGCCGACAUCACUAGCUGAAGGGCUCCAGUGUCCCAGGAGCUCUUCUUCGGCAACGCAUCGUCGUCAAGCUUCCGUCCAGUUGUUGAAAUCAAUGGCAGUAGGGCCGCUGCUCCCUCCCUGUUCUUCGUGUUGCCGACGAAGUUUGUUCUUCCUCCAGGCCAUGAUGCUGAUACGGAGAUCUUUUAGCUCCAAGGCGGCGUGCUCCCGCUGCUCUACUCCAAGUGGCUUUGUCCCCGGUAGUACUGCAGUAGGCUGUGCUUGGCAGCGGCGUGUGUGUGGUGGAGAAGGAGCGAAGAGAAGACCAGGGCUAUGUUGUAUCAAACUUUUAUUCUGAGGCCCUUUCUGUAAUUGUAACUCCACCGACGAUAAUAUAAAGCAGCAUCGGGGUCCUUUCAGACCCCUUGUUCAAAAAAAAUGAUAUGAUUCAGUAGUAUGAUAAUCUCAAAUAAUCAUCUCUUUGACA